UUAAGCGACUAAGCGUACACGGUGGAUGCCCUGGCAGUCAGAGGCGAUGAAGGACGUGCUAAUCUGCGAUAAGCGUCGGUAAGGUGAUAUGAACCGUUAUAACCGGCGAUUUCCGAAUGGGGAAACCCAGUGUGUUUCGACACACUAUCAUUAACUGAAUCCAUAGGUUAAUGAGGCGAACCGGGGGAACUGAAACAUCUAAGUACCCCGAGGAAAAGAAAUCAACCGAGAUUCCCCCAGUAGCGGCGAGCGAACGGGGAGCAGCCCAGAGCCUGAAUCAGUGUGUGUGUUAGUGGAAGCGUCUGGAAAGGCGCGCGAUACAGGGUGACAGCCCCGUACACAAAAAUGCACAUGCUGUGAGCUCGAUGAGUAGGGCGGGACACGUGGUAUCCUGUCUGAAUAUGGGGGGACCAUCCUCCAAGGCUAAAUACUCCUGACUGACCGAUAGUGAACCAGUACCGUGAGGGAAAGGCGAAAAGAACCCCGGCGAGGGGAGUGAAAAAGAACCUGAAACCGUGUACGUACAAGCAGUGGGAGCACGCUUAGGCGUGUGACUGCGUACCUUUUGUAUAAUGGGUCAGCGACUUAUAUUCUGUAGCAAGGUUAACCGAAUAGGGGAGCCGAAGGGAAACCGAGUCUUAACUGGGCGUUAAGUUGCAGGGUAUAGACCCGAAACCCGGUGAUCUAGCCAUGGGCAGGUUGAAGGUUGGGUAACACUAACUGGAGGACCGAACCGACUAAUGUUGAAAAAUUAGCGGAUGACUUGUGGCUGGGGGUGAAAGGCCAAUCAAACCGGGAGAUAGCUGGUUCUCCCCGAAAGCUAUUUAGGUAGCGCCUCGUGAACUCAUCUCCGGGGGUAGAGCACUGUUUCGGCAAGGGGGUCAUCCCGACUUACCAACCCGAUGCAAACUGCGAAUACCGGAGAAUGUUAUCACGGGAGACACACGGCGGGUGCUAACGUCCGUCGUGAAGAGGGAAACAACCCAGACCGCCAGCUAAGGUCCCAAAGUCAUGGUUAAGUGGGAAACGAUGUGGGAAGGCCCAGACAGCCAGGAUGUUGGCUUAGAAGCAGCCAUCAUUUAAAGAAAGCGUAAUAGCUCACUGGUCGAGUCGGCCUGCGCGGAAGAUGUAACGGGGCUAAACCAUGCACCGAAGCUGCGGCAGCGACGCUGAUGCGUUGUUGGGUAGGGGAGCGUUCUGUAAGCCUGCGAAGGUGUGCUGUGAGGCAUGCUGGAGGUAUCAGAAGUGCGAAUGCUGACAUAAGUAACGAUAAAGCGGGUGAAAAGCCCGCUCGCCGGAAGACCAAGGGUUCCUGUCCAACGUUAAUCGGGGCAGGGUGAGUCGACCCCUAAGGCGAGGCCGAAAGGCGUAGUCGAUGGGAAACAGGUUAAUAUUCCUGUACUUGGUGUUACUGCGAAGGGGGGACGGAGAAGGCUAUGUUGGCCGGGCGACGGUUGUCCCGGUUUAAGCGUGUAGGCUGGUUUUCCAGGCAAAUCCGGAAAAUCAAGGCUGAGGCGUGAUGACGAGGCACUACGGUGCUGAAGCAACAAAUGCCCUGCUUCCAGGAAAAGCCUCUAAGCAUCAGGUAACAUCAAAUCGUACCCCAAACCGACACAGGUGGUCAGGUAGAGAAUACCAAGGCGCUUGAGAGAACUCGGGUGAAGGAACUAGGCAAAAUGGUGCCGUAACUUCGGGAGAAGGCACGCUGAUAUGUAGGUGAAGUCCCUUGCGGAUGGAGCUGAAAUCAGUCGAAGAUACCAGCUGGCUGCAACUGUUUAUUAAAAACACAGCACUGUGCAAACACGAAAGUGGACGUAUACGGUGUGACGCCUGCCCGGUGCCGGAAGGUUAAUUGAUGGGGUCAGCGCAAGCGAAGCUCUUGAUCGAAGCCCCGGUAAACGGCGGCCGUAACUAUAACGGUCCUAAGGUAGCGAAAUUCCUUGUCGGGUAAGUUCCGACCUGCACGAAUGGCGUAAUGAUGGCCAGGCUGUCUCCACCCGAGACUCAGUGAAAUUGAACUCGCUGUGAAGAUGCAGUGUACCCGCGGCAAGACGGAAAGACCCCGUGAACCUUUACUAUAGCUUGACACUGAACAUUGAGCCUUGAUGUGUAGGAUAGGUGGGAGGCUUGGAAGUGUGGACGCCAGUCUGCAUGGAGCCGACCUUGAAAUACCACCCUUUAAUGUUUGAUGUUCUAACGUUGACCCGUAAUCCGGGUUGCGGACAGUGUCUGGUGGGUAGUUUGACUGGGGCGGUCUCCUCCUAAAGAGUAACGGAGGAGCACGAAGGUUGGCUAAUCCUGGUCGGACAUCAGGAGGUUAGUGCAAUGGCAUAAGCCAGCUUGACUGCGAGCGUGACGGCGCGAGCAGGUGCGAAAGCAGGUCAUAGUGAUCCGGUGGUUCUGAAUGGAAGGGCCAUCGCUCAACGGAUAAAAGGUACUCCGGGGAUAACAGGCUGAUACCGCCCAAGAGUUCAUAUCGACGGCGGUGUUUGGCACCUCGAUGUCGGCUCAUCACAUCCUGGGGCUGAAGUAGGUCCCAAGGGUAUGGCUGUUCGCCAUUUAAAGUGGUACGCGAGCUGGGUUUAGAACGUCGUGAGACAGUUCGGUCCCUAUCUGCCGUGGGCGCUGGAGAACUGAGGGGGGCUGCUCCUAGUACGAGAGGACCGGAGUGGACGCAUCACUGGUGUUCGGGUUGUCAUGCCAAUGGCACUGCCCGGUAGCUAAAUGCGGAAGAGAUAAGUGCUGAAAGCAUCUAAGCACGAAACUUGCCCCGAGAUGAGUUCUCCCUGACCCUUUAAGGGUCCUGAAGGAACGUUGAAGACGACGACGUUGAUAGGCCGGGUGUGUAAGCGCAGCGAUGCGUUGAGCUAACCGGUACUAAUGAACCGUGAGGCUUAACCUU
rnacentral:rRNA from 1 species